AUUGAACGCUGGCGGCAGGCCUAACACAUGCAAGUCGAACGGUAACAGGAAACUGCUUGCUGUUUCGCUGACGAGUGGCGGACGGGUGAGUAAUGUCUGGGAAACUGCCUGAUGGAGGGGGAUAACUACUGGAAACGGUAGCUAAUACCGCAUAACGUCGCAAGCCCAAAGAGGGGGACCUUCGGGCCUCUUGCCAUCGGAUGUGCCCAGAUGGGAUUAGCUAGUAGGUGGGGUAACGGCUCACCUAGGCGACGAUCCCUAGCUGGUCUGAGAGGAUGACCAGCCACACUGGAACUGAGACACGGUCCAGACUCCUACGGGAGGCAGCAGUGGGGAAUAUUGCACAAUGGGCGCAAGCCUGAUGCAGCCAUGCCGCGUGUAUGAAGAAGGCCUUCGGGUUGUAAAGUACUUUCAGCGGGGAGGAAGGGAGUAAAGUUAAUACCUUUACUCAUUGACGUUACCCGCAGAAGAAGCACCGGCUAACUCCGUG
rnacentral:rRNA from 1 species